UGGGUAAAUCAUUUUCAAAUAAUUAUCUUCCGUAUUUAUUGUUUUUUACCGUUUAACUCCUCAAUUUCCUAUUAUUUUAUAUUUAGUUAAGUUUGAUUUUGCUCUAAUCAUUAGCGAUUCCCCUCAAACUCUACUUAUUUCAUUUUAUAUGAAGGAUCUUUUUAAAGUCUUCUGUCAGUAAAGCAACCAAAAAUAAACAAAGUUGGAAAGCACACUUAUGAAAAUGUGCAACAAUCAUUAAUUGAUCAAUGAAACAAAUGGAGAUUCGCAUUUUAAAGUUUAACAUGCUGAUCAUUUGGUGGACACAUCGGCUUUUCCUCACCUCCAAGAACCGUUUAUUUGCUCAUCACCCUUUUGGACUCGUUAAUAAUUACAAUUUUGGUUCAAUUCAAGGUUUGAUUGGAAAUAUUCGUUGAACUAAUGAGCCUUGUUAAAAUCUAGAAUCAAUUUGAUAAAAUUAAUGACAGUUUUAUGUUCAUCUGAGUAUCUAAGAUUAUGUUGAUUUAAGCUUUAAGUAAUAAUUUCCAUUUUAAAUCAUCAUUACUCAAUUGUAUCGGUUAGUUGAGAUUGGUAAUGUCUUUUAAUGAGAUUGAUUUUUACUCAAUAACUGGCUGACAUUGGAUAACAUCGAUUAUUUAAUUGAACUUGAGAUGACAAUUUUUUUGUGUCUCCCUAAUUUACCCACAAAAAUUGGCUAAACAUUGGUGUACUUUAGUGAUUUCAAUGUUGCCGUAAAUUGAUUGAAAUACCAAUUUGUUAUUUAAACCUGUUACACGCAAAGUUAGACUGGUAAAUAAUUAAACCUCUCCGAAUUGAAUAAGAUUAAUUAAAGAUCUGUGAAACAUGA